rnacentral:lncRNA from 1 species
CAUGGAUUUGCUAGGGAUCAUCUAGAUGUUCUUGCACAUGUCCUAGCACCGAUUUGCUCCAAUAAAAACAACCCAAAUCGUGGCCAAUCGCAAGAUCCAAAAAUUCACCCAAAAAUGCUUCGAAAAUAGGAAAAAAAGAUAAAUUUCAGAUCUUGAGAAAGAGAAACAAUUGAGCACGAAAUUGAUUCUUGGAUUACUUCACCAUAUCCGGUAACAAGCCACUCCUAAGCACAAUCCAAACUAGGAUGGCAAAAAGAUCAACACAAAGAUCCACUCUUCUCUCCCUCUCUCCCUUUCUACCAAAGACUCUCACAAAAUAAUUGAGUAGCCUACCACCAACCAGCACCCAAGGGAUGGCUGCCCCAACAUCCCUCCCACGUAUAUAUAGAUAUUUGGCCAAAGUCCAAAAUACCCUUACAUUAAGCGUACACCUCAAAUACCCCCCCAGGGGUAAAACCAUCCAACAUUUUCUUCGUUCAACGGACGGACAUGGCACCUUCAUGACUUAGCUUCACCUCGACGCAAGCUUCGGGAUGGUGCCACACGUCCUCUGACUUGACACCAUCCAGCCGUACCGGACUCGUCCCCCGGUUCUAAGGCCAAACCAGUCAAACCCUCUGCACACGCACCUGGCGUGACUCACCAACGGUUUUGAGGCCAAACCGGUCAAAC